CAUCGUUGUAUAUCCUAGUUGUAAGUCAGUCUAGUUCUAUGCCGGACACCGUCACAGCAUGGCUUGACGCGGGGUGUGUAGAUCGACACCCCGGAUCCGAAUGGGGGAACCCUGGGUCACCGAAUUGGGGCACGCGAACUGAACCACUCGGCCGUAGGGCCGGCCCCCAGUGCUAACAAUUUAGGUAUCUUCUCCACUCUUACACCAAACUCCGGGCUGACCAGGUUUUUGUAAAAUACUUGUAACAGUAAUACACGGAUGAAAUAUUAUUCAGCAAUAAAGAGCAAUGAAGUACAUGCAACCACAUGGACGGACCUUGAAAACGUUAUGCCAAACGAAAGAAGCCCCUCACGAAAGACCAUGGAUGAUAUGAUUUUAUCUACUUGAAGUGUUGGAAUAGGCAAAUCCACAGAGAAUGAAAGAUGCCGGGAACUGGGGGAGAGAGGAAGGGGGAGUGACCGCUAAUGGGGGCCCGGCUUCUUUUCGGAGUGAACAAGAUGUUCUGGAAUUGGAUAGUGAUGAUGUAGCACAAUCCUGUGAAUACACUAAAAACACUGCAUUGAACACUUCAAAAGGGUGAAUUUUAUGGUAAGUAAAUUAAGUCUCAAUAAAGGUGUCAUUUUUAAAAAGCUGUACAGGGUUAUUAUAUGACUCAAACAGUGCCAAAAGAGUAAAAAGAAGGAAUGAAAAGUCUUGAAUCUCACCCCUAGAGAUAACAACUGACAGCCUAACGGUGUGUUCUCUGUGCACACAGACAGACAGACAGACAGUCACUCACAAGCUUUUUUGAGAUGAAACGUCUGAAGACCAUGACACACUCCCUCAGGAAGCUGAGCUGACGUCAGGCCCAGAGCUGGCCCAGAAGCGUGCUCAGCUCAGGGUUACGUCGGGGUGGGGCUGUGACGAUGGCAAGAUGCUCUCUGGUUUAAACACCCACCGGCAAUUCUAACGUACUGAAGAGUCACCGGGAAGCUGACACAAAUGGCAUCACGUUAUGGGUGCUCUGCUGUCGCCCGCUUUCUUCAACCUUUUCCACUGGAUGCUGCGCCCCGGCAGCUCCCCGGGGUAACGCGUGGAGCCGCACUCCAACCUUUCAAUAACAGCAUUACAUUCCACCGCGUGGAUGCUGCGUGACUGACUUAACAGUCCCCUUGGGGACGUCAUCUCUUCUAGGAAGGCUUUGGGGCUGCCCGUGCCGGUGUGGGCGGCCUCCACCAUCUCUCCAAGAUCCCCGCGGAUUGCCCCCUGGGGGAAAGACCCCAGUGACCGUGGGGACCCUUCAAGGCGGGGCCUGUGUACCGACAGCUGCCUUUGCCUCCUCACCAGAACUCCAGGGCCCCAGCAGAGAGUAUAUGCUACUAGGUAAGUACUUAUUAAAUGAAUUAAUCAAUAAAGCGAGUACUUAAAGAGUGAAUCUGGCCCUGGAGCAGCUCUCAGAGAGCCUCUGAGGCUGUGAGUAAUAAGCCAUCUUCUCUCUUCACCUGGGUAAUCUUAGAAUUUAUGAAGCAUUUUCCUGUGCAUCACCUCCUUCUUUUUGCUUUUGUAAACAUCCAUUGAAUGUCAGUGGCUACGAAGGCGUGAUCCGCCCCCGUCUCGCAUUGACUGAACAGGGUCUGGCUUCCCCCGGCCUCAGCGUGAGCCCUGGACCGUCUCUGAGACUAUGCUCACCCCAGGGGGCCUAAAGAGUUGAGGCGGGUCUUCCCUGAAGGGGGGCCGCCAUCGGAAGUACCACCGCCAUGUUGUAACGUGAGUCCUGAGUGUCUAGACACCUAUCAGGCCCCAGAAACUGAGGAAGCCCAUAUUUUAAAAUCCUGGCCUUAUGGUGUUUCAGCGUCCCCAUGCCGAGACCCCCUGUCACUGCAGCCCCUCCAGUAUGACAAUGUGGGCCCGCAGCGCAGGGCUGGGCUGGGAGCCCCCGUCCGUCCGCUCUCGAGUGGUCCUUCCUGAGGACGGCCCGGAGGCACGCUCUUCCGGCAGCAGGUGGCGUGGUCCACAGACCGGCACUGGUCCACCGUUAAAAACUGUCACAACCACCUCACAGCAUCGUGUUGUGUCUGUUGAUGUGACAACAACAAACAGGCCUUAGAAUUUGUGGAUCCUUUCUUUUCUUUUCAUUUUUCUAGUAAUUUACUUUUAUCAUGUUUUGCAACAGUAUUAGAUUGGGAAGUCCAUUCAAAACUAAACAAACAGGUCCUUCAGCCCUCGUCGUCGGAGAGGCUCUGGUCUGGGGCACCCGGCUGGUGUCCAAGCUCCCCGGCUGGGCUGACACCUCGGCCUUAGGCAGUUACGGAAUCUCUGAGACUGUUCCGUUUCCUGGGAAGAAAAGGGGUCAUGACAGCACUUGCCCCAUAGGCUGUUGGGAGUAUUAGCUGAGAUACUGUAAGGGCAGUGCUCACACCCGGAAUAGUGAGCAAUGACCCUCCCUCCCUUCUGCUGGCCCCAGAAGGAUGUUUUCCGAGAGAGGAGCACGCAGUGGCAGACAGAGACGGGGCAAUAAUGGCUGCAGACGAGCCAGUGCAGGGCUCUCCAGGGUCAGGGAACAGCCGGGAGGGCCGGGGCUCCUUGCAGAGGGAGCAGAGCUGGGCGGAGCAGCUCAGCCUCCCGGGGCCUGGUGGGCGGAGGACUGCCUGACUCAGGUAGACCCAGAGCUCCUCCAGGGCAGACGCCCCGCUCAGGCGGCUCCUUAGGCUGGUCCCUCAUCCGCCACUCAGCUUCCUGGGGUCCCCUGUGGGAGGCCCGCAGCCUGCUGGGUGACUCCAGGCCCCCGGGGUGUCCGAGGUGCCAGGAGUCGGGGAGGCGCAGGAGAGAGAGCCGCAGGGCCGGACAGCAGUGGCCGUGGGCCGUGGACUCGGCAGAGCUGAGACCCGUGGGCUGAGAGCCAGGGCUGUCAGGGCAGCAGCCAGCCGCCUCCCCAGGUCUGGACACAGGCCCCCUGGACCUGCACACUGUGGGCUGCGGGAGGCGGCAGUGGGCCGCGGGCCAUGGACUCGGGGGAGACAAGCUGGGGGCAGAAGCAGAAACGAGGGACUAGGAAACUCUGUGGGUCCUGGACAAUGUGACAGGAUCAAACCCCUGACGAUCCCCGGAUGGAGGGACCCUGCACUCGGGGCGGUGAGGAACCCCCAGCCCCAGGCUCCCAGAGCCCAGUCUCAGCGUCCACUUAGAGGAAAUGGGGGAAGUUUGCCCCAAAGCCCUGUGGAGGAAACCAUCACCACGGUGUACUCAGGUCUUUGACAAAAGGCAGGUGAAGACGGAGCGCAGACUUCAGUUUCCCUCUGGGAAAUGCCCACUGAGGACCAAGAGCCUUCAGUCCUCCUGCCCCUGGCGACUUGGAUGAAGCACUCCCUGGCAAGGGGGCCCUCCUGGAGGCAUCACAUCCUCUUGGAGUUGGCUGAGAAUCCCUGGCCCACGGCGGGAAGAGCCUGGCACCAGCGCUGCCCUGGAAGGAGCGGCACUUGCUCCCCAAGGGCCUGACCACCUGCCAGCCCUGCUGCCCACACCCCGCCCCCUAGCGCUCUCCCAACCUGCCCUACAGGUGUGUCUGGCUCCCGGCCAGCGGGGCCGGUGCCCAGCUCAUUUACGGGAAGGAAGGAUGUAAACAGAGGACAAGGGGCGGGUGGAGGACAAAGGCGACCUGGGCCUUUGUUUGUAUCUCACUCGGUCGGAGGCUGCUCACCUCACACCCCAGGGGGGCUGGCACCAGGGACCUGAGGACCUGCCCACCCAGGGGCAGCACCAGGGCCCCAGGCCGCCCCCUGUGCCCUCCACGAUUCCCCCUCCUGGGGCUGCCCUUGGCCCACCCGUUCUCUCUCAGCCCUGUCUGUGCCCCAAGCAAGGCCCUGCCGCUCAGCCCACGGCCAGGACCUGGCUGAGGAUGCGCUGAGUCAUUGGCCAGAGUUUGCCACGUGGCUGCUCCGGGGGUGGGAUGCACCUUAGUUUCAUUUUCCUACUUCAAGGAGCUGAGGGAGAAAGAGGGUGAAGGCUGAGGACACGCGAGAGGGCCUCAGCGCCCGUCAGCUGGGAGCCCGCUGCACCGAGGAGGGCCACACACCAGCCUCUCAGGGCUGGUCCAUCUGAGGUGCUUGUGGGGGCCUGGGCCACUCAGGACAUUCAAAAACCCCACGCAGCCCACAAACACUGGCCCACGGCACACUGUGUUCCAGGGAUCUUCCAGCACCCGGGGGACAUGAGUGAACAAAACAGAGACCCUGGCCUGUCCACCUUCACCUCCACUCUGGUGGGUGAGAGCCGGGCAGUGAGGGCAACGUGUGAAUAGAUUGUACUCCAGAGAGGAGUCAGUGCCCAGGGGGAAGAUGAGGCCGAGAGGGUUGGGGAGUUUGCCAGGGCCUCCCCGAGGAGAGGUAAUUUGCAUAAAGACUGAAGGCAUCCAAGGGGGAUCCUGACAGACCUCAGGGGGAGCAGGGGAAGCAGGCCGCAGACGGCCCCACCACCAGGGCCUUGGAGGGGCUCCAGGUGAAUGCAUCAGAGGAGCCUGGGAGGUUCUGAGCAGAGGAGGGUCACGAACUGAGCCAGGAUUGACCAGGACUGCCCCGGCUGCUGGGUUAGGAAAGUACAUGUAUAUUAUUACAUAUUGUAUAUUAUUAUCUCUGUUAUAGUAUGUCUAGCAUUAAUAUAUUAUUAUUAAUGUUA